GCAAGAAACGUUUUACCUAUGCAGGACCACCACACUGUUCCACAACUGGUGAAGGAUGAAGAGUCCCAGCGAAUCCUAUAGUUAUGACUUCAGGAUCUGUCUUCCAAGCAGACCUUUCGUGGAAAUACCAAAUGGUACACAUAGUAAUGAAGUGGAGGGCAAUAUAGACCAGGGGUAAGCAAACUACAGCCUUCCAGCUGUUGUGGACUACAUCACCUUUGGUUCUUUGCCUUUGCAUUAUGGUUGUAAGAGCAUUAUGGGAGAUGUAGUUCAUAGGUUGCCUACCACUGAUUUAGACUAAAAUGCUCAUCAUGUUUUGUCUGAACCAAAUAAAGACUUCUUCUGUAGAACUGUAAGGUUUGCACACUGGCUGUGUGCUGAUGGUGCAGACACAUCCGAAACAUCUUCAUGAAUCAUAGUCGCGUUCCCAUGACAUGUCAGUUUUACAGUGUGAAUCACAAAGCUGCACAUAUUCAUCAGUAGACAGCCCAAGUAAGAGCUGCUUGCAUAGCCAUGUUAAUGCAGGCAAUGUGGCAUAGAUGAUCAUGUGGGCAUAAUAAAAUGGAGGCAAUAUGGGUAAAUUUAAAAAAGACAAGAAAAUAAGUGACUUAAAUAGGAUAUUUUUAUCUGCUGUUAUUUGCAAUUUUAUGAGUAAAUAUAUUUUGUAACUUUGAAAUCUACAAAAGAAACAAUCUAGCUGAAUGUCAUUUGGAUAUACUAAUGAGAAUUAAAAGCUAUCCAUAUCCAGUAACUUUAAAGGAUCACUAUAGUGUCAGGAAAACAAACCUUGGGGGACCCUCACCCUCCCCGGGUCCCCCUCCCGUGGCGUUGAAGUAGUUAAAACUUCUUCAGCGCAGGGCUCCCUUGGUGCUGGUGACCUCUCCUCCCCUGCCGACGUCAGCUCCCGACUAGAGCAAAAUGUGCAUGCGUGGAAAGAGCCGCAUUCUAACAGUCCAUUGGAAAGCAUGGAAUGCGAAUUUCGUAUCCAGCAUCACAGAAGCGCCUCUAGCGGCUGUCAGGAAGACAGCCACUAGAGGUUGGAUUAACCCUGUUAUGUAAACAUAGCAGUUUCUCUGCUCUGAAACUGCUAUGUUUACAUGUGAAGGGUUAAAACCUGAGGGACCUGGCACCCAGAACAAUUCAUUGAGCUGAAGUGGUCUGGGUGACCAUAGUGUUCCUUUAACAAAGAAAACUAAGCUAAUGGGUGUCGUUGUUAUUACUUUAAUUUAACAUUGCAUUUUAUGAGCAUAACAAAUACUCAUUGACAUUUUUCUUAACAGAAUAACUAUAUGAACAAAGUAUAAACAUUCAAUGUAUAGCAUAAAACCUCAACAAGUAGCUACGUAGCUUGACAAAAUUAUCAGGUUUACAUUUGCAGAAGCAUUCUGUGUGCACAUACUUUUAAAACAGAAACAACAUUUGCACAACAAAAUAUUUCUGCGCACACUACUGAUAAUUAGAGGGAACAGUGUUUAGGGAAUAUAUUCAUUGAGAACUUCCAUGACUUUAUUACCUGGUUUGACAGCCCAGCUAAACUAGUUAGGAGCCAGGAUUAUUUUCAACGAACAAAGCUUUAUUUUAAGAAUAAAAUACAAUUCUUACACUGACACAAUAGUCACCAGAACCACUACAGAUUAAUGUACUGGUUCUGGUGUCUAUAGUCUGUUUCUGCAGGCUUUUCAAUGUAAACACUGCCUUUUCAGAGUGACUGUCUAGACUUGAGGCCUCUAGAGACGCCUCCAGUGACAGUCACUCAGGCGACCUCUAGAGUAGCUUCCUAGUUCAGUGCUGCACUGUGUCCAUUGGAUUGUCUGAGAUCAUCAAGCUUGCUUAUCUCUGCCAUGCCGGUGGGGCCAGCUGCAGUGAGACGGGAGUAAAAAUAUGUUUCCCAUGCGAUUUGGAGGGGUACCAGUCACCUAAACACACAUUCACUCACACAUUAUUUGUGUUUGGUUUUAAUUUAAGUCCACCCAGCCUCCCUACCUUUGGGAGAGAUGGGGUGGAUUCUUUCUCUGGGGACCAGUGGAGCUGCUGUCACCAUCAUGUACUGCUUGCUCUGCUCCCUUGCACAUCGUCUUGUGAUGCCGGGGCUGGAGUGUAACCAUUUCCAUUUAUAAAAGUUGUAAUGUCUGUUGAAAUCGUCACUUUUUUUCAAAAUCAAAGAAAGAGGAUCCACUCUUCACACACAAAGCUUUUCAGCAAACUAAAAUGCUUUAGAGGUCUGGAGUGUCCCUUUAAUGAUAAGAUAUAUAUACAUAGUUAUAUAACGCUAAAAUGCAGUAAUCCAACUGAUACACUGGAUAUGUUUGCUGUCUAGUAAUCGUCGAAAGUGUUUGCUCAGCAGUAUAAUUAUUUUGUAACAAAACUUUCAUGGUUUGUAACAACUUUUUAAGGCAGCUCUGUGAGGAGUUACCCUCCUCCCAAGUAGAAGUGUCUACUUUCCUGUUAGGAUAUUAGACAAAAAUGGUGUAUACCAAGACUGUCAAAG